AGCCGUGUAGAAUGAUCCAAUCUACAAGACUCAGCAAUGAAGCGAGACAAAAUGAUUGGAUAUGUCAAUGCCCAACGACGGAUCGACCAUAGUGGCCACGCACUUGAGAAAAAGACACAAGAAAUUGCAGUUUCCCUCCUAAUCAAGUAACUUUGUCAUGCUCGUGACCAAGAGCCACAACCUUUUACAUCAAACAGAUGAAUUGGCCAACAGAUUGGAACAUUUUCAUGAUAUGAAUAGCAUCCAACAAUGCUCUACCGGGAAAAAUGGUCGUUUGAAAAAUGAUUUUUAGGAUGAGUGUAUAAUAUUGGAGAUGGUUAGGCACCGAUAUAAGUCUCGGGGUAAGUCAAGACCUGAAAUAAGUGUGUUUUAUGGAAUGGGUUAAGUGCCUUUUGUGUAACUUGGGAUGAUUAAACCCUAAGAUGAGUGUGAAUGAAUGUGAAAUUGAAUGAUAUAAAGAGAAUUAACGUGAACUCAUUUAUAACUGAUUGGUUUCGAUAUGAGA